rnacentral:rRNA from 1 species
CAGUAGCCACGGUAACACGUAGGGUGCGAGCGUUAAUCGGAAUUACUGGGCGUAAAGCGUGCGCAGGCGGUUUGUUAAGACAGAUGUGAAAUCCCCGGGCUCAACCUGGGAACUGCAUUUGUGACUGGCAAGCUAGAGUGUGGCAGAGGGGGGUGGAAUUCCGCGUGUAGCAGUGAAAUGCGUAGAUAUGCGGAGGAACACCGAUGGCGAAGGCAGCCCCUGGGCCAACACUGACGCUCAUGCACGAAAGCGUGGGGAGCAAACAGGAUUAGAUACCCCGGUAGUCCCUGUCUCUUAUACC